rnacentral:rRNA from 1 species
GACAGAGGAGCCAAGCGUUGUCCGGAUUGACUGGGCGUAAAGCGCACGCAGGCGGUCGCGCGCGUGGGGUGUGAAAUCUGGCCGCUUAACGGCCAGGCGCCAUCCCAUACGGCGCGACUGGAGUGAUGCAGAGGUCGAUGGAAUUGCCGGUGUAGUGGUGAAAUGCGUAGAGAUCGGGCCAGGAACACCCAGGGGGAAACCAGUCGACUGGGCAUCUACUGACGCUGAGGUGCGAGAGCGUGGGGAGCGAACCGG